GACUGUAACAACGUCCCAGCUCUUUGUGGCUUUUUGCUGCAACACCUGCAAAAUGGCCCAAUUGGAGUUUUUGCACUGAGUAAUGUUGCCAGAUUAAAACAGAAACACCCCUCUCUGUUUUCAGUAGUAUGCUAUAGCUUGUUGGACACAACUUCAGAGACUUCAGAGUGUUCCAAGGACACCAAAGCUGAGGUAAACAUAGACUUCACCUCUGAGGCUAGUUUCAGGAAAAACACAGCUAAGAAAUAGACUGCUACACAGAUCUUAAAUAGACAAGAGAGAAAGGGAGGAAAGGAUAUAACAUAUAUCCAAGAACUGCUGGAGUGUUAUUGUUUUUUGAAUCUAUCCAGGGAGGAUAUGUUAGGAGAUAAAUGGAAAAAUGGAAAAGCAAAGAUUGGAGCAAUUGGAGAAAACAGCCAAUAAACGAAGGGAAGAGAGAGUCCACUGUGAGUGCUGCAGAGGUAUUCAGACAAUGUUAUCCAUAUCCAUCAGUUCCCACUUGAACAGUGACUGCAGCUGUUCUGUGUUACUUCUUGGCUGGCUCAUCCCUGCAGCUCCCUCGCCUCUCCAUGCUCAUGUGGGUGAAGAAGAUGGAACCUGCAUGAAUCCUGGUGUUCACAAAAAGAGCAUCUCCCAGAGCACAUCUGCUCUUUAAGGAACACAUAAAGAGCCCUUUGUGAAGAAUGUGCAGCUUUCAUCUUGGGUAUGUAAAAAGUGAGGGAGAAUUCUUUUUGGUAGGCUCCUCUUCACCCAGCCAAAAGACAUAGACACUGACAUAAAAGCAAAUGUCACCAAACACAUCUGAGAGUAACUGCAGAGAAACAGAGCUUUUUGGAACAUGAUACAUCAUAUUUUAAGAUAAACGUCCUACAUAUAUUAAGUGAAUUAUAUUUUAAAAGUGCCUAGUUUUUCUCCAUUGACUAUAAAGGGACCCUAGGGUGAGUAGACCAGACACUGUAAAUAUGUCUUAAGACAGCUGA
rnacentral:lncRNA from 1 species